CUAGACUUCAAACAGUUUGUUUUAACCAUGUUAAUAGUUCCACAUUAUUGGUUAAUAGAGAAUCAAAAUAAAUUUACCAAUGAAUCGCGAAAUGCUAUGGUUCUUACAUAUAAUUUAUGAAUUUAUACAGAAGUAAUUCGCGAGAUCAUGCACCUCUCUUUCCUACUUAUAACGGAAAAGGGUACAGUUGGUUGGUCCAACCUAUUCUUGAAAUAAACAACUCGCACAAGAUUAUUAUUCCAUUCCUUUCCAAAAUUCCAUAAU
rnacentral:misc_RNA from 1 species